CUGUAAAAAAUCAAUAAAAUAUAUUAAAAAAAAAUACACAUAUAGCUGUGUACCAGAAGCUGGGACUACCUCUGGGGAAAAAACUGACAAAACCCGCCUCCCAGCUCCCGCCGACCGAGGCCCAGCACUGUGGCAGCCGGCGAAUCCGCACAGCCCAGACAGCACCCGGGUGCGACUGCCCCUCGGCUUACCCAGCGGCUCGCGGGCCCCGCCCGCGGUAGCCUUCCAGUCCGCGCGCGUCUGGGCCUGCGCCAGCGCAUUCAGCGCCCGAACCCACCGGCUCCCGGCUGUGGACUACAUUUCCCAGAAUCCCCAAGGGCGGCGUUAGCAGCGACUCUGAGGACCCUCUGUGAAGAGGGAGCUGUUGCACAUCUGAAAGUCCAGAUCAGAGAAAAUAUUGCUGUUGUGCAUAGUGGCCACCAGAUGGCGCCUGGAUUCCAAGGAUGGAAACGUAAAGGAUGCCAUUAUGAGAGGUAAAAUCAACAUAUCCUAGUCCUGAAGACAGCCGAUCAAUGAUUCUCCUUCAUCAUUGAUGUUUCUAUCUGUCUCUCCCUCCCCUUUCCUCUCUGAAAUCAAUAAAAAAUAUUUUUAAAAAAUAAAACAA